GAUAAAGAACGUAGCGAAAUGCGAUAAGUAAUGUGAAUUGCAGAAUUCAGUGAAUCAUCGAAUCUUUGAACGCACAUUGCGCCCGCCAGUAUUCUGGCGGGCAUGCCUGUUCGAGCGUCAUUUCAACCAUCAAGCCCCCGGGCUUGUGUUGGGGACCUGCGGCUGCCGCAGGCCCUGAAAAGCAGUGGCGGGCUCGCUGUCACACCGAGCGUAGUAGAUUUUAUCUCGCUCAGGGCGUGCUGCGGGUUCCGGCCGUUAAACCACCUUCAUAACCCAAGGUUGACCUCGGAUCAGGUAGGAAGACCCGCUGAACUUAAGCAUAUCAAUAAGCGGAGGA
rnacentral:misc_RNA from 1 species